rnacentral:rRNA from 1 species
AUUGAACGCUGGCGGCAGGCUUAACACAUGCAAGUCGAGCGGAGAUGAGGUGCUUGCACCUUAUCUUAGCGGCGGACGGGUGAGUAAUGCUUAGGAAUCUGCCUAUUAGUGGGGGACAACAUUCCGAAAGGAAUGCUAAUACCGCAUACGUCCUACGGGAGAAAGCAGGGGAUCUUCGGACCUUGCGCUAAUAGAUGAGACUAAGUCGGAUUAGCUAGUUGGUGGGGUAAAGGCCUACCAAGGCGACGAUCUGUAGCGGGUCUGAGAGGAUGAUCCGCCACACUGGGACUGCGACACGGCCCAGACUCCUACGGGAGGCAGCAGUGGGGAAUAUUGGACAAUGGGGGGAACCCUGAUCCAGCCAUGCCGCGUGUGUGAAGAAGGCCUUAUGGUUGUAAAGCACUUUAAGCGAGGAGGAGGCUACUGAGACUAAUACUCUUGGAUAGUGGACGUUACUCGCAGAAUAAGCACCGGCUAACUCUGUGCCAGCCGCCGCAGUAAGAC